ACACUUUCUUGUGACUAAUUACCUAAUAUUAAUGAUGAAAAUCACCAAAUAGCAUUGAUUUAACUAGUUUAUCGAAACGUUUUUGCAAUGAAAUGAUGAGCCGUUUUUUCAUACACGAACACACACAAUACAUAAUGAAACAUAAGGAAACACGUUGGAUGUAUCGUGAAUUUGUUUACAAUUUUUACAUCACCUUGGAUGGCUAAUAAUUCAGCGAAUUUUACUUUUUUCGAGUAUCCGUUGAUGUUUAGUGAUAUUUGAGGUUCAAAACUAAUUAAAUAUCGAGUAAAAACCGCAAAAACAAUGAAUCCAAAGUGAAUUAAAUGUGAAAUAAAAUGUGGCCGAUAACUAGUUUUUGUAGAGAAAACAUGUACCCUAUUUUCGGCCACAAACAAAUUACGUGGAUUUAACGGAUUUAUUGGUGAAAAAUGAUCAAAAUCUAUCAUUAAUCAAUGAAAUAAUCCUUAAUUAAUUGAUUUAAACACAUAGCCGCACAGAAAAACUAAAUUUUAUGCGAAAAAUACUUCCUCAAGUAGUGCACUACAAUUCUUUGAUUGCUUAAUAAAAGCGUUUACUUUUGUUCUGUUUGGUGGCAUGAAUACUUUGCAACAGCAAUUAAGAAACUUUAAAAUAAUUAUUGGGACCGAUAACUAUACACAAAUAAUCUUAAUGCGAUACAUUUGCUGGAGAAAAUAAUUUUAAUUAAUUUAUUAAUUGAUUUAAUUGUUUUAUUAAUUCGUAAAGUCUGAAGUGGCCGAUAGCUGGGUGGUGGCCGAAUACUGGUGCCCUCUCAAUCCAACAAAC